rnacentral:rRNA from 1 species
ACGGGUGAGUAAUACAUCGGAACGUGCCCUGUAGUGGGGGAUAACUAGUCGAAAGAUUAGCUAAUACCGCAUACGACCUGAGGGUGAAAGUGGGGGACCGCAAGGCCUCAUGCUAUAGGAGCGGCCGAUGUCUGAUUAGCUAGUUGGUGAGGUAAAGGCUCACCAAGGCGACGAUCAGUAGCUGGUCUGAGAGGACGAUCAGCCACACUGGGACUGAGACACGGCCCAGACUCCUACGGGAGGCAGCAGUGGGGAAUUUUGGACAAUGGGGGCAACCCUGAUCCAGCAAUGCCUCGUGUGUGAAGAAGGCCUUCGGGUUGUAAAGCACUUUUGUCCGGAAAGAAAUCGCGCUUACUAAUAUUAGGUGUGGAUGACGGUACCGGAAGAAUAAGGACCGGCUAACUACGUGCCAGCAGCCGCGGUAAUACGUAGGGUCCAAGCGUUAAUCGGAAUUACUGGGGCGUAAAGCGUGCGCAGGCGGUUGUGCAAGACCGAUGUGAAAUCCCCGGGCUUAACCUGGGAAUUGCAUUUGGUGACUGCACGGCUAGAGUGUGUCAGAAGGGGGUAGAAUUC